rnacentral:rRNA from 1 species
GACGAACGCUGGCGGCGUGCCUAAUACAUGCAAGUUGAGCGCUGAAGGUUGGUACUUGUACCAACUGGAUGAGCAGCGAACGGGUGAGUAACGCGUGGGGAAUCUGCCUUUGAGCGGGGGACAACAUUUGGAAACGAAUGCUAAUACCGCAUAAAAACUUUAAACACAAGUUUUAAGUUUGAAAGAUGCAAUUGCAUCACUCAAAGAUGAUCCCGUGUUGUAUUAGCUAGUUGGUGAGGUAAAGGCUCACCAAGGCGAUGAUACAUAGCCGACCUGAGAGGGGGGUCGGCCACAUUGGGACUGAGACACGGCCCAAACUCCUACGGGAGGCAGCAGUAGGGAAUCUUCGGCAAUGGACGAAAGGCUGACCGAGCAACGCCGCGUGAGUGAAGAAGGUUUUCGGAUCGUAAAACUCUGUUGGUAGAGAAGAACGUUGGUGAGAGUGGAAAGCUCAUCAAGUGACGGUAACUACCCAGAAAGGGACGGCUAACUACGUG